rnacentral:rRNA from 1 species
CAAAAUUAUGGGGAUAGGACUGUUGAGCAAAGUAGCCUCCAUUGUCUUUCCCAUAGAACCCAUUAACGGUGGCGCAAAGGGCGCAUCCUGGUGACGUCCACGUCGGAUUAGCUAGAAGACAAAGAGAUUUACUUCGAGAAGAAAGAGAGAGAGGGAUUGGCCAGCGAUGAGAGAAAAGGAUUGGCCCCCACUCCCCAUUGCCCGAUUCCUCUCCCUCUCCCUCUUGUUGCCGCUGCCGCCACCGGCGACCUCCCUGCAGCCGCCGCCAUCAGCCACGCCCUCCCCAACGGCUGACUCUCCCACCCCUUUUCUCCUCAACAUCGGCGACCUCUCCUCCCCCUCGCACCAGAUCGAGCAGCAUGUCGGGCAGGGCGAGCGGAGCGGGGAUGGGAGGAGACGGGCAGACGGCGGCGGAGCGGGGAUGGGAGGAGAUGGGCAGACGGCGGCGGAGCGGGGAUGGGAGGAGAUGGGCAGACGGCGGCGGCGGCGUCCUCCUCGCCCAUCGGCGCGCGACACCUGUCAGAGCCCCGUCGGCUCCGUCGAUCUGCCAGACCUAGGUCGCCGGCGUGGCUGCUGUCUCAGGCGAGAAGAGUGGUCGCGUUAAGACGCGGGAAGGGGGAGCAGCCAACCAUGCUCAAGGCCGUCCGUGGCGGCUGCAAAUCGAGGCUGCGGCUACAAAUUGAAGGUCAGUGCGCGGCGGCCCUCUCUCCUUCUCAUCCCCUCUCGCUCGAGCGAAAGUUGCGGACAUAGUGGCGGUGGCCCGUCCGUGGCGUCGUCCUCAGCCAGAGAAGGGGAGAGGAGGGCGAGAUGAAGAGAGGAAGUGGAGGGAGAUGGUGAGUCCAUGGAGAAGCACCACCGGGAGCAGAUCCGGCCAUCCGCGGCAAGAAGGCCAUGCCUCCCUCUACCUCCGUGCCGUCACCCAGGUUCAGGCAUAGCAUACUGAUGCAAUUGAGGUGCAUCCGCUGGUGCCGAACAAACAGCAUAAAAGCCAUCUUCAGCACCAAACCAUCUAUGCAUCGUGACUGAAUGAACUGGUGCACUCUACUAUGGCUGGAAGUAGGCAAGGUGGACUAAUCGCAGGAGCUUCGGCUGCAAUGAUGUUUGCUAGAUUGAAUGGUUACUUGGAAAGUACUGGCCAAAUCAUGGAAGUCUCGAAGAAGAUACUAAAAGAGUAAAAAAACUGUUUGAUUAUCGUGCUUGAAAGGUUUCUAAAAAGUACACACCGAUCUGUAUGAGGACUGACGCUAGCAGGGGUUUGCCAUUUUUCCUGAGCAUUUUCCAAAUAAAAAUGUUUAUACAAGUAAUAUGUGUCCUUCUCGUAAAUGUGCUGCAACUGGAUCCUUACAAUUCUCUGUUUUUUCAGUUGUACUAAUAGUAGUUGUUUGUGCAAAAUGAAGGCCUUUGUGAUGCGGGUUGAGGAGGAAAACGACUCGGAAGAGGAAGAUCAUAGAUUACGAGCUAUACAAGACUAAUCCAUGGGUUUGCUCCUACUCCCCUCUUCCACCAGAUUUUGCCUAGUGAAUCAUGUAAUGGAGGACCAGUGCUUCAUCGAGUCCAUCCCGCCCCUUGGCACUGCCGUUGGCGUCUUCAACAACCUCGCUAGGGAUUAGGGUGCCGACACAACGUCGCCAGCCGCAGGCAGGAGCUCAGCCCCACAUCCUUGCUCAAGUGCUUCCGAGCGAGAAAGACUGCGAGGAGUUGGACGUGCAAUGGCCUAGCGGAGUCGUCCGCGCCGCGACGCCGCCGGUAUGGAGGCCCAGGCUCGGGUUUAACUCAGCAAGCUUUAGUGCUUAUUUGUUAAUAAUCCUGGGUUCUGACCACGUCAGUAGCGUCCCCUCGUCGUCGACGGCGGCUCAGGGAAAUCGAGGAAGGAGGCGAGUCCGUCCCACGGCGUCGCUGUCGGGGAGCACUAAGGGAGCUCCCUGUCUUGGUUUGCAGCAAGUAUGUUCAGCACGCCGCCUCCAGCCACAAGCAUCGCCGUGAGGAGGACAAAUCAAUCUCAUUCCCCCCUUCUUCGCGACGCAGAUAGAUCACACUUAUUCAACAAGUAUGUCCGAUUUGUUGUUCACAAAUUAAACAUUAAGGCAAUUAGGAUCUGGAUCUUUGAGAUGUUUAGCUUUACAUGUUCAUUAGGGAUUUGUUGUUGCUGAAAGGGAGCAAAAUAGAGGGAAUAUCUUUUUCCAAAAAAAGUUUACAUACUGAGCUGUACGCCUGUACUUUAGAAUGUAAUCUUAGUGUUAACUGCAUCAUACCAUUACUAAAAAGAUUUGGAAUUUAUCUUGUAUGUGAUUGGUUUGUAGGGCUGUAGGCUGGUGAGGUCUGGUUAUAGCACAAUGCUUCAGACUAAUAUCAAAGGAAUAAAUUGAUCAAUAAGUUUCAGCCAUGGUUAGCCUCUCUUGCAAUUUUGUGAUGUCAGGUUUUAGCCAUACUUUUUGUGUCAACGGAUGCAGAUUAGGUUGGUAGCCUACAUCUAUUUCUUUGCAGUUUUUCCGUGUUGUUUCGCUAAUAGUUCUACUCUAUAUCAUCUCCAAACAAGGGUUAGUUAGCUAUCUUUAGCCCUUACAUGCAGCAGAAACAUUGCAUGCAUUUGUACAUAUAUAGUAGGAUUUAGAUCCCUUUGUUUUUACAUGGCAGAACUACCACUAUGUGUGUUAUUAGCCUUAUUCACUAUGGGUAAGAGGAGAAUGCUUUAGUUGCUAUCAAUUCACUGACAUUUUUCUACAACAAACACUCAAUGACUCUGAACCCUUCGUUAAUAGUACGUAGCAAACAAAAUUCUACACUUCCUUUUCAACAUUUCUAUCCUGAAAAGUUGUAGCACAUCAUCAAAAGGGUGGCUGUUCCUGUAGAUCUACUUAUAAAAAAUAUCACGUUAGUUUGCUUUUCUACUAACGACAAUUCUCGUAAAAGAUGGGCUACUGAAUGCAUAAUUCAGUGUGACAUAGAUAAUCUUGCACAA